rnacentral:rRNA from 1 species
UGGGGAAUAUUGGACAAUGGGCGAAAGCCUGAUCCAGCCAUGCCGCGUGUGUGAAGAAGGUCUUCGGAUUGUAAAGCACUUUAAGUUGGGAGGAAGGGCAGUAAGCGAAUACCUUGCUGUUUUGACGUUACCGACAGAAUAAGCACCGGCUAACUCUGUGCCAGCAGCCGCGGUAAUACAGAGGGUGCAAGCGUUAAUCGGAAUUACUGGGCGUAAAGCGCGCGUAGGUGGUUCGUUAAGUUGAAUGUGAAAGCCCCGGGCUCAACCUUGGAACUGCAACCAAAACUGGCGAGCUAGAGUAGGGCAGAGGGUGGUCGAAUUUCCUGUGUAGCGGUGAAAUGCGUAGAUAUAGGAAGGAACACCAGUGGAGAAGGCGACCACCUGAGCUCAUACUGACACUGAGGUGCGAAAGCGUGGAGAGCAAACAGG